GCAGCAGUGAGGAAUAUUGGUCAAUGGGCGAGAGCCUGAACCAGCCAUCCCGCGUGCAGGAUGACAGUCCUAGUGAUUGUAAACUGCUUUUCUAUAAGAUGAAUAAGGACUACGUGUAAUUCGAUGACCGUAUUAUAGGAAUAAGCAUCGGCUAACUCCGUGCCAGCAGCCGCGGUAAUACGGAGGAUGCAAGCGUUAUCCGGAUUUAUUAGGUUUAAAGGGUGCGUAGGUGGGCGUUUAAGUCAGUGGUUAAAGCCAAUAGCUUAACUAUUGUAUGCCAUUGAAACUGGAUGUCUUGAAUAGGGUAGAGGUAGGCGGAAUGUGUUGUGUAGCGGUGAAAUGCUUAGAUAUAACACAGAACACCGAUUGCGAAGGCAGCUUACUAUGCCUUUAUUGACACUGAUGCACGAAAGCGUGGGCAUCAAACAGGAUUAGAUACCCUGGUAGUCCACGCUGUAAACGAUGAUCACUCGUUUUUGGCAAUACAUCGUCAGAGACUAAGCGAAAGCAUUAAGUGAUCCACCUGGGGAGUACGUUCGCAAGAAUGAAACUCAAAGGAAUUGACGGGGGCCCGCACAAGCGGAGGAACAUGUGGUUUAAUUCGAUGAUACGCGAGGAACCUUACCUGGGCUUAAAUGUAUAGUGCAUAAUAUGGAAACAUAUUUUUCCUUCGGGACUCUUUACAAGGUGCUGCAUGGUUGUCGUCAGCUCGUGCCGUGAGGUGUCGGGUUAAGUCCCAUAACGAGCGCAACCCUCAUCGCCAGUUGCCAGCAUGUAAUGAUGGGGACUCUGGUGAAACUGCCGGUGUAAACCGUGAGGAAGGUGGGGAUGACGUCAAAUCAGCACGGCCCUUAUGUCCAGGGCUACACACGUGUUACAAUGGCCAAUACAAAGGGCAGCCACCCGGCGACGGGGUGCUAAUCCAUAAAGUUGGUCUUAGUUCGGAUCGGAGUCUGCAGCUCGACUCCGUGAAGCUGGAUUCGCUAGUAAUCGUAGAUCAGCCAUGCUACGGUGAAUACGUUCCCGGGCCUUGUACACACCGCCCGUCAAG
rnacentral:rRNA from 1 species